rnacentral:rRNA from 1 species
UACGUAGGGAGCAAGCGUUAUCCGGAUUUAUUGGGUGUAAAGGGUGCGUAGACGGGUUGAUAAGUUAGUUGUGAAAUCCCUCGGCUCAACUGAGGAACUGCAACUAAAACUGUUAAUCUUGAGUGUUGGAGAGGAAAGCGGAAUUCCUAGUGUAGCGGUGAAAUGCGUAGAUAUUAGGAGGAACACCAGUGGCGAAGGCGGCUUUCUGGACAAUAACUGACGUUGAGGCACGAAAGUGUGGGGAGCAAACAGG